rnacentral:lncRNA from 1 species
CGGGGCUCGGGGCUGGGGCUCGGGGCUGCGCGGGAACGGAGCCCAGCGGGCGGCAGGAGGGGCCCUGCCCCGGGACCCGCUCGGGGGAGUUCCCCGCCGGAGGCUCGUUUGCUCUCCAGGAGGGAAAAAAAAAAAAAAAAAAAAAUAGAAAAGAAAAGAAAGAAACCGUUCGGGACACAAAGUCUGCCACGUUUCCGACCCAACCAACCUCAAACCUUCCAGGUAGCGAUCGGCUCCGCUGCCCGCACCGGCGUGUUGGGCUCGGCACCGCGGCCGCCCUUCUGGAAGAGUCUCGCAGAACUGAGGCGGAGGGAAACCAACACAGAAGUGGCUCGAAAAGCGCGAUGGCAAAUGAUUAAUCAAAUCCGAGCCAGGAAGGCGGAGGUAAUCAAUGAGUUUUCACUUAUAGUUUACUCGGAUGGACAUCUUUCUCGUUUUUUGCCUCUAAGUUCGGAAACCACACGGGGGUUCAUUAGCCAAACAAGCAGCUGCAGGGCUCGCCGGGCUGGUGGGAAUUCCUUCCAAAUGAGCUCCGUGCUUCUGAGCGGAGCCCGGCUGUCGAUAAAACCGCGUGC